UCUCGGGGUGUAGCUCAGUGGUAGAGUGCUUGCCUAGCAUGCAAGAGGCCCUGGGUUCCAACCCCAGCACCAAAA
rnacentral:tRNA from 1 species